GUCGGUAGAGCAUCAGACUUUUA
rnacentral:piRNA from 2 species